UUUGAAACCUCCAGAACAGGCUAGGGUUGCUAAAAGGAGUUGCUUUAGCAAUAGUGGUUAUUCACUCCUUGUUGGUCCAUAAAUUUCACAAUAUUCUCCUUACCCUCAGUUUCAAUGGGUGUCUCUAGUGUUUUUGCUGAGUGAUCUAUAAAUAUUAGCCAUUUUCUUGAAAGUACCUGUGUUUUGCUACAUCACCAGUGAAAAUAUGCCCACCAGCCAGUCAUGGUAAAUACAGUUCCUCUUAGGUCAGCCUCUUUUUGAUCACCUUGCCUUCCAAUAUAUCCCUGUUUUUUUCUUUCUUCCUUUCUUUUCCUUCCUUCUUUCCUCUCUUUCUUUCUUUCUUUCUUUCUUUCUUUCUUUCUUUUCUUUCUCUUUCUGUCUUUGUGGAUCAAUAGUUGCGAAGGAUAGCUUAUAAAUUCAUGAAAUAUUUUGAUAUCAGUUACUCCCCAUUGAUAACUAUGUGUGAUUAAAUUUCCAUUAUUAAGCCUAUAUUUGCUUUUCUUCCUAUAUUUCUUUCAUGAAAGAUGAUGGUACUGAGCCCUGCUUUGCUCUGUGCUGAGAUUGUCCCUAGCGCAGACUCCAGGCUGCCCAUUUCUGUGGUUUGGUCCUUCAGAGGCAUAGUAACUCUUCAUCUUCCUUACCAAUGCCUAGGCUUUAGUUAUUUUGGUCACUUUUUAGAUAAGACCCUGCAGGAUGGUCACAUUUAUCAAGUUGAUGCAUCAGUAUUUACAAGCUGGAAAUACAACACCUCAGGGUAUGAGAGAUAAAGAGGAGAAAGGCUCUGAUUGGUUGAGUCCUUGUAUUGUAUGUGGUUUUUUUUUUUUUUUUUUUAAGUACUUAGGUGGAAAAACAAUGAUUUUUACACAGGCAUUUCCCCCAAUCUCAGCUACCAUUCACCUUUUGCCUAAUCUUUGCUGGCUUCCCCUCCCCCAAUAUAGAUUCAAGGGUUAAAAAAUUCUGGGAAACUAUGAGGACAAGAAAUAGUUUCUCACAGACAGACCCAAUAGCACAAAUUGAGCCCAGCCAGACAACCAUGUAUUUGGGUUGCAUUAUUUUAGAUACCAAAUUGUAGUAAAAAAAAAAAAAAUCACCAGCAUUCUGAUUCAUGAAAUCUGGAAAAGGCCAUAUUUAUUAAACAGAAAGACAUGAAGGUACAGAUAAGAAACCACAUUUUAUUUUUCUCUUUGCUUUUGUUUUCUGUUUCUCCUGUUAUUGUUAUCACACUGCCUGGAGUUGGGGUAGGGUGAGAGUCAUCAUCUUUUUAUUUGUUUGUUUUGUUGUUGUUGUUGUUGUUGUUGUUGUUGUUGUUUUAGAGGCUCUGAGGGUAAGCCAAGAAGGCCUCCCUGAAAGUGAGGAAUGGGCCAGGCUGUUUGUAAAUGGAACACAUCACUGGUGUGUGACAGGGAUCUUGGUGGGUUUUUGUUUUUGUUUUAUUUUUGUUGUUUGAUUAAGGGCGAGGUUUUGUUUUGUUUUGUUGUUUGUUUGUUUGAUGUUUUGUUUUGUUUUCCUGCUGGAAUGGUGGUGCCUGACUAGGAAAGGAAUGGGUCUAUUUUAAAUGCCAGGAGGUAUCUGCUUUCUUGAUUUAGCUCAUGACAAAAGAGCUAAUGUUAGAUUUUACCCUGUCUUCUAUUUGCUGGUUACUUUGGAAGAAGCCCAGAUCUAUGGGUAGCAGAGUACGUUUUUGAUUGAAGAAGAUAGGCAAACCAAGCAGUUUUGCUUGUCAUUGUGUGUUGUGUAAAGUAAGCUGACGCUUGCACUUUUUGUUUUAAAGUCAAUCCUUUGAAUGUAUUUACAAAAUGAAAUUGAUGGUUGAAACACAGCAGAGAAGAUAUGAGAGUUUUUGUGCUAAGGCUCAUAUUGUUACACAUGUAAAUAAUGAACAUAUUGUUGUAUAUCACCAGGUCUUUAAAAAAAAAAGAAUUUGGUCAUUGUGUUCUUAUGCAGCACAAAUGUCUUGUGCUUCGUAAACUGCCCAUUUGUUUCCUCCAUUUCAGACUGCCUACUCUUCCCCUUCCAACCCAAAGGAAAGUGACAAAGUUCUGGUCCAUCAGCUUGGCUACUUUCAAACUAGGCCCAGUUAUAGUUUACAGUAGAGUGUGGCUCCCGAGCCACUAUCCAAGCUUUGAUCACCCCAUCUACCCAAUCACCUUCCCCUGACAAGUCUGUACAAUAAAUAAUUCAAGGUGUAUUUAAAAUAUUAGUCACUUUGCUGUUGUUGCUCUGCGUUUUCCCUUCUUAGUAUUAGCUAAGGGUUAUUCCUCCUCUCUCUCUCUCUCUCUCUCUCUCUCUGUCUCUCUCUCUCUCUCUCUCUCUCUCUCUCUCUCUCUCAUUGAUCUUAGAGACUCCCUCUGCUUCUUCCUGGCCUCCAGUGUUUGCUCAUUACCAUACUCAUGAUCUGGUUUUGUAUGAAUGGUUUUCAACAUUCAGAGAAUAAUUGGUUCUUAUAUCAAAUGCAGUAUAUACUAUUCAUAGUUUUAUCAAUAAGUGUAAUAUUUUAAAUAAUUUUAACAAUUAAAUUUGUUUUUUAAAUUAUAUAUUUGUAAAGUAUUUAUCCUGUUGGAAGCAACAAUAUAUUGUUGUAUUUAUUCGUUUAUUUUUAUAAUAAAUGAUCAACCUCUUCAAGCUAAAUCAAAAAUGACACUUUUAUAUAUCUAUACAAAAUGCAUUUAAAGAGAUGGGCACAUAUGCACCAAUUUGUAUGUAAAUAGAGUAAGAGCCUACAAUAACUUGUAACUUAUGGAACUAAAUUGAAGGAAGAAAUAUUCUCUCCACAGGGAGUUUAGUUUGCCCAAGUUCCAGGGUAAUUAAUCAACUGUAAAAUAAAUGCAACAGGUACCCGGC